UGUCUCAGCCUCCUGAGUAGCUGGGAUUAGGUGUGCACCACCAUGCCUGGCUAAGUUUUGUAUUUUUAGUAGAGAUGGGGUUUCACCAUAUUGGUUAGGCUGGUCUCAAACUCCUGACCUCAGGAGAUCCACCUGCCUCAGCCUUCCAAAGUGCUGGGAUUACAGGUGUGAGCCACCACGCUCAGCUGACAUUUGGUUAUUUUGAUUUUUUUGUUAUAUUACAAAUAAUGUUAUUAAAGCACUUGUGAUACAAGUGUCUCUUUGGGUCAUGGGCACACAAUUCAGUUGGGUAUAAACCUAAGAAUGGAAUCAUUAGGUCAUAGGGUAAGCAUAUCUUCAACUUCACUGGAAAAUAUCAGUUCCCAAAGUAGUAAUUGCCUAAAUUUACAUUCUCAUCAGCAGUGUAUUAAAGUUUCCAUGGCUCCUCAUACUUGCUAACACUUGGUAUUGUCAGCUGUCUUUGUUUUAGCCAUCUGGGUGUAUGUCCUUAUUCUUUGAAUACGAAUUUCCUUGAUUACUAAUGAGGAUAAACCCUUUUUCAUUACAUAUAUGUGAAUACACAUAUACAUAAAUAUAUACAGUAUACAUACUGUAUAUGUGUAUAUGAAAACAUAUAUAUACAUAAAUAUAUAUGUAUAUAUACUGUACAUAUUAGGCUAUCUGGAGUUCUUCUUUUCUGAAUUGCCUGUUCAAGUCUCUUGCUCAUUUUUCUAUUGAGUUGUCUGUUUUUUCUUAAUGGUGCAUAGCUCUCCUGUAUGUAUUUUGUAUUUAACUGAUAGCUGUUUUGCAAAUAUAUUCUCCCAGUUGUGGUUUGCUUUUUCACUCUAUUAAUGAUUGUUUUUGGUAAAGAGAAAUUCUUAAAUGUUUAAUGCUAAUAUAAUAAAAUCUAUUUAACCUUU
rnacentral:lncRNA from 10 species